UUUUCGUAGGUGAACCUGCGGAAGGAUCAUUAUUGUAUAACCGAGGUGCGAGGGCUGUCGCUGACCCGAAAGGUCGUGCACGCCCGAGUGCCCUCACACGCAUCCAUCUCACCCCUAUGUGCACCACCGCGUGCGUCCCCCUUUGGCUGGUUCGGAGGGGGGCUUACGUUUUCACACAAACUUUGUAUGCAGUGUAGAAUGUAUUUUUUGUUUUUGCGAUCACGCAAUCAAUACAACUUUCAACAACGGAUCUCUUGGCUCUC
rnacentral:misc_RNA from 1 species